rnacentral:rRNA from 1 species
GAUGAUUUGACCAGCUUGCGGGUGCGCGUCGGGCCGGACCUUCACCAGAAGUUUGAGGCGAUGAUCUCGGCGCGGGGCAUCACGGUGCAGCGGGCCCUUGAAACGCUGCUGGCCUGGGUGGUCGACGAAGACCCACUGACUCAGGCCAUGAUCUUCCAGCAGGUGCCGGCGUCGGACCGGGCGGCUCUCUCCCGGAUCGUACUGCGGCGUCUGGCCGGCGUCGACGCCAAGGCCCCGCAGAAGGCCCGCGGCAAGCGGGAGGGGUGACCGGGCGUCCGGCAGACCAAUCGUUGAUCCUGUGGCGUUCUGGCGGCCUUGCCGGUCCGUCGGCGCAGGCGGGACGAGCGACGG